GGGUUACUCCUUGGCGUUUACGCGCUGGUUUAAUAAAGAUUCGCCCCCCUAUCAAACUGGGUAACCCCACCCUUUGGCAAGGCCUUCUGUCCGAUCAAGUCGGAACUACUACACCUGAAGCCAGCCUAUAUCAAUCUGAUUACUACUGUAGUCGUUCGGUGAACGAUUUCAUCAUCAACUGCUAAGUUGACUACUUUGCAUUGCCCGUUA
rnacentral:sRNA from 1 species